rnacentral:misc_RNA from 1 species
GAUGAAGAACGCAGCGAAAUGCGAUACGUAAUGUGAAUUGCAGAAUUCAGUGAAUCAUCGAGUCUUUGAACGAACAUUGCGCCCCCUGGUAUUCCGGGGGGCAUGCCUGUCCGAGCGUCAUUGCUGCCCUCAAGCACGGCUUGUGUGUUGGGCCUCCGUCCUCCUCCCGGGGGACGGGCCCGAAAGGCAGCGGCGGCACCGCGUCCGGUCCUCGAGCGUAUGGGGCUUCGUCACCCGCUCUUGUAGGCCCGGCCGGCGCUUGCCGACACAUCAAUCUUUUUUCCAGGUUGACCUCGGAUCAGGUAGGGAUACCCGCUGAACUUAAGCAUAUCAAUAAGCGGAGGA